rnacentral:lncRNA from 1 species
AGCCUCUUGGUUGAUUAAGAAGUUGGCUAGGUGAUUAACAUGCUAAGACAAACAAUUACUCACUUUGGUGUCAUUAACCUAUAGGAUGUCUAAGUGGCAAUUGUUAAUAUGGCAAAAGAGAAUUGGUAUAUACUUUGAAACAAGAAGUUGUAAUUUUGUUAAAAGGCAUGUCAAAGUUAAGUAAACGUGAGAGAAUGAUAACCGUUAAUUU